AGGAAUUAAAAACAAAACUGGUAAAUGCAGACUCUUGGAUUCCACCCCCAGAGAAUCCCUAAACCGGGGGUGGAAUCCAGGAAUCUGCAUUUUAGAAAGUACCCAGGGUGAU